AGUGAACGCUGGCGGUAGGCCUAACACAUGCAAGUCGAACGGCAGCACAGUAAGAGCUUGCUCUUACGGGUGGCGAGUGGCGGACGGGUGAGGAAUACAUCGGAAUCUACUUUUUCGUGGGGGAUAACGUAGGGAAACUUACGCUAAUACCGCAUACGACCUACGGGUGAAAGCAUGGGAUCUUCGGACCUUGCGCGAUUGAAUGAGCCGAUGUCGGAUUAGCUAGUUGGCGGGGUAAAGGCCCACCAAGGCGACGAUCCGUAGCUGGUCUGAGAGGAUGAUCAGCCACACUGGAACUGAGACACGGUCCAGACUCCUACGGGAGGCAGCAGUGGGGAAUAUUGGACAAUGGGCGCAAGCCUGAUCCAGCUAUACCGCGUGGGUGAAGAAGGCCUUCGGGUUGUAAAGCCCUUUUGUUAGGAAAGAAAAGCAGCAGGUUAAUACCCCGCUGUUCUGACGGUACCCAAAGAAUAAGCACCGGCUAACUUCGUG
rnacentral:rRNA from 1 species